rnacentral:rRNA from 1 species
CAAACGACUCUCGGCAACGGAUAUCUCGGCUCACGCAUCGAUGAAGAACGUAGCAAAAUGCGAUACUUGGUGUGAAUUGCAGAAUCCCGUGAACCAUCGAGUUUUUGAACGCAAGUUGCGCCCGAAGCCUUUUGGCUGAGGGCACGUCUGCCUGGGCGKCACAC